rfam:Streptococcus thermophilus LMG 18311, complete genome.
UUCAGGAAGGUCAGCAGAAAUAUAAUGUACGUGGAGGUCAAUACCACCAGCAGUCACAAUCAAACCUUCUGCAGCAAUGGCUUCUGUACUAGCACCCACAACAAAGUCCACAUUGUCCAUUGUAUCUGGGUUACCACCGCGACCAAUAGCAACAAUCUUACCAUCACGAAUACCGAUAUCUGCUUUAAUAAUACCUGUAUAGUCAAUGAUGGUUGCACCUGUAAUAAUGGUAUCAACAACUGAUGGAUUGUCACGUGUUUCCGUA